UCCUACGGGAGGCAGCAGCUAAGAAUAUUCCGCAAUGGAGGAAACUCUGACGGAGCGACGCCGCGUGGAUGAUGAAGGCCGGAAGGUUGUAAAAUCCUUUUGAGUGUGAUGAAUAAAGCUUACAGGAAAUGGUAAGAAGAUGACCGUAGCACUUGAAUAAGGGGCGGCUAAUUACGUGCCAGCAGCCGCGGUAAU
rnacentral:rRNA from 1 species